GCCUACACAUGCAAGUCGAACGGGUAACAGGGAAAAAGCUUGCUUUUCCGCUGACGAGUGGCGCACGGGUGCGUAACGCGUAUACAAUCUACCUCUUACAGGGGGAUAGCCUUUAGAAAUGAAGAUUAAUACCCCAUGGCAUUAUAAACCGGCAUCGGUUUAUAAUUAAAGUUUCGGCGGUAGGAGAUGAGUAUGCGUUCUAUUAGCUAGUAGGUGUGGUAACGGCACACCUAGGCAACGAUAGAUAGGGGCCCUGAGAGGGGGAUCCCCCACACUGGUACUGAGACACGGACCAGACUCCUACGGGAGGCAGCAGUGAGGAAUAUUGGACAAUGGGCGGAAGCCUGAUCCAGCCAUGCCGCGUGCAGGAAGACUGCCCUAUGGGUUGUAAACUGCUUUUGUACAGGAAGAAACCUUUCCACGUGUGGAGAGCUGACGGUACUGUAAGAAUAAGCAUCGGCUAACUCCGUGCCAGCAGCCGCGGUAAUACGGAGGAUGCAAGCGUUAUCCGGAAUCAUUGGGUUUAAAGGGUCCGUAGGUGGAUUGGUCAGUCAGAGGUGAAAUCCUGCAGCUCAACUGUAGAACUGCCUUUGAUACUGCCGGUCUUGAAUUAUUGUGAAGUGGUUAGAAUAUGUAGUGUAGCGGUGAAAUGCAUAGAUAUUACAUAGAAUACCGAUUGCGAAGGCAGAUCACUAACAAUAUAUUGACACUGAUGGACGAAAGCGUGGGGAGCGAACGGGAUUAGAUACCCCGGUAGUCCACGCCGUAAACGAUGGUCACUAGCUGUUCGGACUUCGGUCUGAGUGGCUAAGCGAAAGUGAUAAGUGACCCACCUGGGGAGUACGUUCGCAAGAAUGAAACUCAAAGGAAUUGACGGGGGCCCGCACAAGCGGUGGAGCAUGUG
rnacentral:rRNA from 1 species